rnacentral:tRNA from 1 species
GUUUUAAUAGUUUAUAAAAACAUUGGUCUUGUAAGCCAAAAUAAAAGAAGCCCCCUUUUUAAAACU